UUUUUGAGGGCGUCCUUCCUUAAGGACGUGCUCGUCGAUUUUUUGUUUGUGAGUCAUCUGUUCGGAUGCUUUUCAUGAAGUUUUUUGUGGAGGGUUCGAUUCUGGCUCAGGAUGAACGCUGGCGGCGUGCUUAACACAUGCAAGUCGAACGGGAUCCAUCAAGCUUGCUUGGUGGUGAGAGUGGCGAACGGGUGAGUAAUGCGUGACCGACCUGCCCCAUGCACCGGAAUAGCUCCUGGAAACGGGUGGUAAUGCCGGAUGCUCCAUCACACCGCAUGGUGUGUUGGGAAAGCCUUUGCGGCAUGGGAUGGGGUCGCGUCCUAUCAGCUUGAUGGCGGGGUAACGGCCCACCAUGGCUUCGACGGGUAGCCGGCCUGAGAGGGCGACCGGCCACAUUGGGACUGAGAUACGGCCCAGACUCCUACGGGAGGCAGCAGUGGGGAAUAUUGCACAAUGGGCGCAAGCCUGAUGCAGCGACGCCGCGUGAGGGAUGGAGGCCUUCGGGUUGUAAACCUCUUUUGUUAGGGAGCAAGGCACUUUGUGUUGAGUGUACCUUUCGAAUAAGCACCGGCUAACUACGUGCCAGCAGCCGCGGUAAUACGUAGGGUGCAAGCGUUAUCCGGAAUUAUUGGGCGUAAAGGGCUCGUAGGCGGUUCGUCGCGUCCGGUGUGAAAGUCCAUCGCUUAACGGUGGAUCCGCGCCGGGUACGGGCGGGCUUGAGUGCGGUAGGGGAGACUGGAAUUCCCGGUGUAACGGUGGAAUGUGUAGAUAUCGGGAAGAACACCAAUGGCGAAGGCAGGUCUCUGGGCCGUUACUGACGCUGAGGAGCGAAAGCGUGGGGAGCGAACAGGAUUAGAUACCCUGGUAGUCCACGCCGUAAACGGUGGAUGCUGGAUGUGGGGCCCGUUCCACGGGUUCCGUGUCGGAGCUAACGCGUUAAGCAUCCCGCCUGGGGAGUACGGCCGCAAGGCUAAAACUCAAAGAAAUUGACGGGGGCCCGCACAAGCGGCGGAGCAUGCGGAUUAAUUCGAUGCAACGCGAAGAACCUUACCUGGGCUUGACAUGUUCCCGACGACCCCAGAGAUGGGGUUUCCCUUCGGGGCGGGUUCACAGGUGGUGCAUGGUCGUCGUCAGCUCGUGUCGUGAGAUGUUGGGUUAAGUCCCGCAACGAGCGCAACCCUCGCCCCGUGUUGCCAGCGGAUUAUGCCGGGAACUCACGGGGGACCGCCGGGGUUAACUCGGAGGAAGGUGGGGAUGACGUCAGAUCAUCAUGCCCCUUACGUCCAGGGCUUCACGCAUGCUACAAUGGCCGGUACAACGGGAUGCGACAGCGCGAGCUGGAGCGGAUCCCUGAAAACCGGUCUCAGUUCGGAUCGCAGUCUGCAACUCGACUGCGUGAAGGCGGAGUCGCUAGUAAUCGCGAAUCAGCAACGUCGCGGUGAAUGCGUUCCCGGGCCUUGUACACACCGCCCGUCAAGUCAUGAAAGUGGGCAGCACCCGAAGCCGGUGGCCUAACCCCUUGCGGGAGGGAGCCGUCUAAGGUGAGGCUCGUGAUUGGGACUAAGUCGUAACAAGGUAGCCGUACCGGAAGGUGCGGCUGGAUCACCUCCUUUCU
rnacentral:rRNA from 1 species